GUUAUAAAUAAUGAAGAAUAUAUUUUGAAUGUACGUUUUGAUAUUCCAUUAUUAGGUGAUAAUAGUGCGAUGGCUGUUUUAGGUAUAAGUAUAAAAAAUAGUGUAAAACAAAUAUUAUCGCAUCAGAAUUAUUUUUUAGUUAAGCAUAGUUUUGAUAAUAUGUAUAAUAGUAAAUUUUAUAUAAAUAUAAUAGAGACAGAAGAAGGGAAAAGGUUUGUUGAAUAUCAUAAAAGAAAGUUAAAAAAAGGUUUAUUAAGAGUGUUAAGUAUAAGAAAUAUAGAAGAAAAAGAAAAACUAAGAAAAGCAAACAUGGUUAAUUCGAUAAAAAAAUACGAUAGCAGCGGUAUCCAUAGUAGUAACAGUAUUAUAACUGGUAAUAGUCAUAAUAACAAUUUUUAUAAUAAUAGCAAUGCAGAAGGUGUUGGUAAUAUUGAUAAUAGUAUAUUAAUAAAUGGCAACCGGUUAUAUAAUAAUAGUAGUAGUAAUAGUUUAUAUCAGUCCAAAGAAAAUAUAAUGGAAAUUUUACCAAUUAGCUUUAUUGUAAAUAUAAAAAAUUAUGAAUGGAAAAAAAGAUUAAGAAAAGCUCAUAAAUCUUUAUAUAUUUUGAUAAUAAAUUUUACAAAACAAACUUUAAUUUUAUCCACCUCUAAGGGGAAUAGUAAAUCGACUUCAUUAACAGAAGGUAAUUGGGUAGAAUUACCAUACGAGAAGAUUUGUCCAUUACGUUGUAGUGAAUUUGGUUGUAAUAGUGAUGGUAUGUUUUCAAGUAUCAAUGGUAAUUGUACAUAUAAUUUUAUGAGUGAAUCAUGCUAUUUAAAUAUUUAUUGGGAUAUUAAUAGUGUAAAUUCUAAAAUUAAAUGUAAUAUCAAAAAUACUACUAAAUAUACUAUAAUAAAAAAUGUAGAGAUAUAUAAUGAAUGUACAGCUGUAUUUCACGUUUUAGAAUAUUAUUAUUAUCCUCCCGUUAAAAUAUUAGAAUGUAAAGCUAUAACAAAUAACAUUAUAAAUGAAUAUGGUAUAACUAAAAAUAAUUUAGAUUCGAAUAUGAAUGUGGUACAUCAAUGUAGUAUAAAUGUGAUUAGACAAUUUUGUCAAUACACACAAAAUAAUAAUACAUCGUAUGAAAAUUAUUCAGAUGAAGAGUUCAUAAAUAUUAAUCCUUUUUUUAAAAAAACGAUUCGAAACCAUUAUAAGAUUCGGAAUUAUGAUAGUAUUAGUACAGAUAUGUCCAAACUGAAAAACAAAUAUUCUUUCUCUACUAAUAGUACAAGUGAAAAAAAAAAAAAAAAANNNNNNNNNNAAUAUUCUUUCUCUACUAAUAGUACAAGUGAAAAAAAAAAAAAAAAACAAUAAAAUAAAAAAAAAAAAUCCAUUCAUUUGGGCGUAUUACCAAUACAGACGGAACUGUUAAUAAAUCACAUGAUAAUAAUAAAAAUAAAUUAUCA
rnacentral:lncRNA from 1 species